CAGACCCGCGGGGGUUGAUGUAUUCUGACAUAAAUAAUUAACCAUAAAAACAGCGAUCCCCCCUCCCCAAAAGGAUGAUUGGAAAUGGAGAACCGUGGAUUCACAAACAAAAGUAUGUGCUUUUUUUUUUUUUUUUUUUUUCUAUAAAGGAGAAAGUAAGCCAAGGAGAUAUUUUUGGAAUGAAAAGUUUGGGGCUUUUUUAGGAAAGUAAAGACUUGAUAUGGUGGUGUUUUCUUUUUGAAUUUCCCACAAGAGGAGAGGGAAUUAAUAAUACAUCUGCAAAGAAAUUUCGGAGAAGAAAAGUUGACCGCGGCAGAAUGAGGCAUUGAUUGGGGGAGAGAAGCCAGCAGAGGACAGUUGGAUUUGUGCCUAUGUUGACUAAAAUUGACGGAUAAUUGCAGUUGGAUUUUUAUUCAUCAACCUCGUUUCUCCCCCCACCCCCGCCUUUUUUUUUUCUUUUUGGUGUCAAGAUCAUGCGUUUUUCCGCUUGUUCUUAACCACCUGGAUAUCCAUCUGGAUGUUGCUGUGAUCAGUCUGAAAUACAAUUGGCAAACACACUGCCUGUUUACAGCACGGAGGCCACAAUGGAGAGCUAGGUGGGUGAUGAUUCAUGCUAAAUCUUUGCCACAAUAUGCUGAACACUACAGCAGCAGCUAAUGUGAAGUGGCUCAUUAUACACUGUCAAAUCCAAUAACAGCCAAAGACUGGCUUUGCUGCAGCACGAGCAACUUGUGGGAAGCCUAGCUACUGCAAACCACUACUGAAUUGCAAAAAAAAAAAAAAAGAAAGAAAGAAAAACACAACAGGCUUCAAGAGAGUGGAAAAGACAGAGUCACUGAGUCAUAUUUGCAAAUUUCUGUUUGUCACUUUAGAAAUGGCCUUCAUGGUCCCAGCCCAGCUUGACGCCAGAGAUGGCUCUCCUUGGGAUUCCUUUCUCUUGUGAGCACCUCUCCCUUCAGUUAUAUUUUAUGGGCUAAAGAUGAUCUCAGGGCCACUGCGCAUAGACAGAGCUGGAAAUGUGGUUCUCUUCUGGAAAUAUUCCUGAAGCUCCCCCUCCCCUCUCCACCCUCCAC
rnacentral:lncRNA from 1 species